AGCGAACGCUGGCGGCAGGCCUAGCACAUGCAAGUCGAACGAUCCUUCGGGAUAGUGGCGGACGGGUGAGUAACACGUGGGAACGUGCCCUUUGGUUCGGAGUAACUCAGGGAAACUUGAGCUAAUACCGGAUGUGCCCUUCGGGGGAAAGAUUUAUCGCCAUUGGAGCGGCCCGCGUUGGAUUAGCUAGUUGGUGGGGUAAAGGCCCACAAAGGCUACGAUCCAUAGCUGGUCUGAGAGGAUGAUCAGCCACACUGGGACUAAGACACGGCCGAGACUCCUACGGGAGGCAGCAGUGGGGAAUAUUGCGCAAUGGGCGAAAGCCUGACGCAGCCAUGCCGUGUGAAUGAUGAAGGCCUUAGGAUUGUAAAAUUCUUUCACCGGGGACGAUAAUGACGGUACCCGGAGAAGAAGCCCCGGCUAACUUCGUGCCAGCCGCCGCGGUAAAAC
rnacentral:rRNA from 1 species